UGACGCUGAUGAACGAAAGCGUGGGGAGCGAACAGGAUUAGAUACCCUGGUAGUCCACGUCGUAAACGAUGGAUACUAGCUGUUCGGUUUUCGGACUGAGUGGCUAAGCGAAAGUGAUAAGUAUCGCACCUGGGGAGUACGUUCGCAAGAAUGAAACUCAAAGGAAUUGACGGGGGCCCGCACAAGCGGUGGAGCAUGUGGUUUAAUUCGAUGAUACGCGAGGAUCCUUACCAGGGCUUAAAUGUAGAUUGACAGAUUUGGAAACAGAUUUUUCUUCGGACAAUUUACAAGGUGCUGCAUGGUUGUCGUCAGCUCGUGCCGUGAGGUGUCAGGUUAAGUCCUAUAACGAGCGCAACCCCUAUUGUUAGUUACCAGCGCGUUAAGGCGGGGACUCUAGCAAGACUGCCGGUGCAAACCGUGAGGAAGGUGGGGAUGACGUCAAAUCAUCACGGCCCUUACGUCCUGGGCUACACACGUGCUACAAUGGCAAGUACAGAAAGCAGGUACCUGGCAACAGGAUGCGAAUCUCCAAAGCUUGUCUCAGUUCGGAUUGGAGUCUGCAACUCGACUCUAUGAAGCUGGAAUCGCUAGUAAUCGGAUAUCAGCCAUGAUCCGGUGAAUACGUUCCCGGGCCUUGUACACACCGCCCGUCAAGCCAUGGAAGCUGGGGGUACCUGAAGUCGGCGACCGCAAGGAGCU
rnacentral:rRNA from 1 species